AAAAAAAAGAAAAAGAAAAAGAAAGACAACAUCUUAUUAUUAUUAUGAAUGUAAUAUAAAACAAAAAUGCUCAUUAAAUUCGAAUCAUUUUUAAGUUCUUGUUGAAAAGAGAUCAGCAAGCGUUAACACAGUAAAAAAAAAAAGCCUAUUAAUAUCAAGAAGAGAUUUCAUAAUUAACGUCACCAAAGGAAACAAAGUAGAAUGGGAGGAAAAUCACUUUGUCUUAUGUGACCAUUUAAAUGUUUGGGGCUGUCUCCAAGAACCACUCAAGAUCAUUUUGCAUAUUUGUGUAUGUUUGCACAGCAGCCCACGGAUGUAGCCUUCAUGUUGGGGUGGCUGAAAUAUCCAGUUAAAAGAAGAACCCUAAAAUGGAUAAUGAGACCCCAGGUUCUUGGUUCUCUAUAGUGUUCAGCACACAAACCAACCUGCUCAGAACCCAAGAUCGAGCAUCUUGGACUGUGGAGUCAGGUUCCAAUUCUCUGUUUUAGCUGUGCAACCUUGGCAAGCCAACCACACCACUCUGAGCCUCAGUUCACCUACUCAAAGGUAGGUUAGUAGAUCAGAGGGUUGGUCUGAGGAAUAAAGAUGAGAAAUCCUGAGACGGGAAAGUCACGGCUGAGGCAGAGCUGAAACUCACCCAUGUCUGACAUCUGGGGGUCAGGCCACCCCACUCCUCCAGGCUGCUCCAGAGCGAAGCACAGCACAGAGUGUCUCCUCCUACUUUGCAAGUGGCAGUGACUUCGGCUAGUGAGGAUGUCAGUGAGGCAUCAGCCUGGAUUCCAUGUUCAACACAUAAUUGUAGAUGAAGGCCUUGGAGAACGAAUUCCUUUUCUCCUCAUCUUCUCCACACAGUGGAAAGCCUGGGAGCUGAGGACCCAGCAGGACCAGAUUCCCAACCUCACGUCCACGGCCGGCAAGGAUGCUGUGAUGGGUGAUCCCUGAUGGAUGAGGAAGGGGACAGCUGACAGGCUCUCCCACACGGGGGAUGUAUUCAGGAAGGGAAUUCCAGAGACAGGAAGGAUGGUGCUGCCGCUCACAUCACAGCGAAUGAGAGGGAAGGAGGCUAAAGCACGCAGUCGACCUCUGCAG